UCAGCAUCUGCCUGCCUGUGUGCAUCAGUCGUAUGAAACUGGCUAAUUUCUUCAAGAUUCAAGACGUCACGAACUUCGGCUGAGCCCUUUCCAGUGGCUGCUGCAGAGGCCACGAUGAGAAGGAGGAUGCUUGCCACUCGUAGGUCCAUCUUGCAAGCUCAAACCUGUGGGGAAAAAGAAAAGGGAUUGUCAGUACAACUGUCCCACAGGAAUUGAUGUUUCUGGUUUCUUCGCCAUACUGACCGAGGCGCAACCCACACCCAAAGAGAAGAGCAUAAUUGGCGGUUGAUGUAAAGAGACCCAGCGAAGCACAAAAUUUCAACAAGGGGACCACGGUGUGUGUUCCAACUACAGAGGGAUCAGCUAUGAACCUCACCGCACAUCACUGGGUUUCUGGGCACGCCCCAUCAGGAGGCGACCCAGAGAAAAACCCAGGACACAUUGGAGGGGUUCUGCUUCCCGACUGGCCCUGGAACGCCUUAGGAUUCCCCUGCAAGCGCUGGCCUAAGUCGCUGCAGAGAGGGAAGUCUGGGAUUCCCUGCUUAGGCUGCUGCUCCUAAGGGGAAGAUAAUAAAUAAAUGAUUG